rnacentral:lncRNA from 1 species
CAGAUACUACCAAGCCCUUGCCCAAUAACGCAUUGUGAUGGACUCUUGACCCGACCCAAAACCCUUUGAUACAAGUGUGUUGCUUUGGUCCGUUUGAUCUCCUAAACCUAACAUCUACGAUAAUGACUUAUUAAUAUAAAAAUAAGGUCUGAGAUUUUUUGGCCCUAAUGUUUAGUUACAUUCUUGCGCCUCUUCAUGAGUCUUCUAGGUUUCUUCUCUUCGAGACCUUGUGUCUCUGCCUCUUCUCUUUCUUGGUGCAACUCUCCCUUUAAUCAGUAAACCCUUGGUUUUCUGAUGGUUCUGUGUGUGUAUAAUCUUGGUGAUUCUUCGGUUUUGAGUUGUGAGGAGUUUUCUGUUGGUUUCUUGGAGAUUCUUUCGGACCAUUGAAGCAACCAUUUCUGUGUCGAAUUCUAGGGGUUGUGGUUUGUGAGUUAAUCCUUUGUAUAGAUGGGUACAAGGUGGAUCUGGGCCCAAAAUCUAUGAGAUAUUGAUGCUAUGGUCUUGUGUCUGUAAUCUAUACUUGGUGUCGAUUUUGGGUUCACUAUUAUAACGGUGGUAUCAGAGCCUUAAGAGGCUGGUCGAGUCUCCAUCUUCGACUCCUCAACGUGGAAAAUUAAUUUUCACGUCCGGAUUUUGAGAGAUCCGACAAACGAUCGAAACCCUAGAUCUGUUCUGCGAUGGAUCUUGACUUAGUUUAUGGUUCUUUACAUUUUUCUUAGUAAACUGAUGUGUUGUUGGUGAUUUUGCAAGAAUAAGUGGAUUUCGAAAUUUUCUUGGUGAAUUGGCUUGAAAAUAAUUGGGCCUUCUGCAUGAUACUUCAUCUGUCGGUCGAAAUCUUUAACUCUCUUAAGUCUUUUAAUUGUGAUACAUGAUUUACUGCUGAGUGUCGUGAAAUUGUGUAUAUUCUAGUGUUGAAGGUGUUCUGAAAUUUGGAAUAUAGCAUAUAUACUCUUUAUUCAAAGUGUUCUACACGUGUUUAAACUUUGUGAAUAAUUCCUGAUUUUGGUAUACUGUUUAUUGAUUAAUCAUUGAUCCUGUAGUCCGCCUAUUGUUCAAUCUUUGUGAUUGUUAAUUGAUACUUUAUCUUUAAUAUUGUACACUUUGCACUGCACUAUUGUGGACUUGGGUUGAGCCUUGACCUGAGAUCUUUGAGCCUCACGGAAUCCUGGUGAACUCAGGACACAUCACUGCAUUCUGAAGUGGUUUAUUAUUAUUCUCUGAUUGGUUACUAUUUGUUAUUAUUUACUGUGUUAUAUUCUUUUGAGAUUUCAUAUAGUGCGUGAUACUUUGUGUUGUCAUAUAUUCUGUGAAAUAUCUUCUUGUGCUUCUGGCUGAACUUUAACUUUCAAAAAUUUCUUGUGUUGGUUAAAAACGUCAGAUGACAACAACAACGUUUGAACUUGGGAUUUUUAAUAGAAAAGAGGAUUUCCCCAUUUGGCAGCAAAAAAUGAAGGGGGUUCUUGUUCAACAGAAAGUGUCUAAAGCUAUAACUGGUGAAUAUCCUGAUAGUAUGAUCGAUGAACAAAAAUCUGAAUAUGAUGAACUUGCCUAUACUUCCAUUAUUCUUCACUUGUCUGAUCCAGUAUUAAGAAAUGUUGGAAAAUUGGAUAAUACGAAAGCCUUAUGGGAUAAACUUGUGGAACUUUAUUUGGUAAAAUCAUUACCUAAUAAAUUAUUUCUGUUGGAGAAAUUUUUCAGUUUCAAAAUUGAUAUGUCUCGAGACUUAAAUGAUAAUCUUGAUACUUUUAAUAAGCUGGUGCAAGAUAUAACUAAUGCCGAAGACUAAGUAUUUGAAGAAUAUAAGGCUAUAAUUUUGUUAAAUUUCAUACCUGAUGUGUAUAGAGAUGUUAAGACAGCUAUUAAGUAUGGCAGAGAGUUUUUAACACUUGAGAUAGUGAUUAAAUCCUUAAGAAGUAAAGAUUUGGAAGUUAAAUCUAAGAGACAUGGCAAGGAAAGUGAGAACCUAUUUAUGAGAGGUAGAUCACUGACCAAACAUAGUAAUAAUCAGGUUAACCAAAAUAAUUAGUGGAAUAAUACUUCUAAGAAGAAGGGGAAGGGUAUACAAAGGUCAAAAUCUAGAAAUAGAGCUAGAAAAUGUUAUGGUUGUGGUAAAAUUGGUCACCACAUUAAGGACUGUUUUAAAAAGAAAAAUGAGCAAAGAGAGGUUAAAAUUGAUGAAGAGAACAUAGUUGAGCCUCUAGGUGAGGGUACUGUUGAUGUCUAUAAUGUAACUAAAUCCACAUCUAAUUUGAACUCUGCAAAUUAUGCAGAUAAUUCAAAUCAGAGUGUAGAAUGGAUCUUAGAUUCAGGUUGUAUCUUUCAUAUAACCUCUAAAAGGCAUUGGUUGCUUGAUUUUAAGGACUUAGACGGUGGUGAGGUAGUUAUGGGUAAUAAUGCAACCUGUAAAGUGUUGGGAAUAGACAGUGUGACUUUAAAAUUCGAAAAUGGGUAUACAUUUACCUUAGAAAUGAUGAGGCAUGUACCAUAUUUAAAUAGAAAUCUGAUUUCAGUUGGGAACUUAGAUGAUAUAGGUCUCCAAGAAAAAUUUGGAGAUGGUUUCUUGAAAAUAGUUAAGGAAUCUUUAGUUAUUUUCAAGGGUAUUAAAAGAAAUGGGAUCUAUGUCACUAAGGCAAAUGUGUUUAGUCAUACUGCAGAAUCCUCUAUGGCUGAGAAUGACGCUACUUUGAAAUGGCAUAAUAGGUUAGCCUAUGUGAGUAAGAAAGGCUUACACAUCUUAAGUCAAAAAGGUGCCUUUGAUAGUGACGUGAUUUCAAAAAUUCUCUUUUGUGAAUAUUGUACCUUAGGCAAACAGCAUAGACUACACUUUAGUACAAGGAAACAUAGGACAACAUCUAUCUUAGAGUAUAUACAUUCUGAUUUGUGGGUUCCAUCAUCCACCACCUCUCAAGGUGGGAAUAGGUACUUUUUAUCCUUAAUUGAUGAUUUUUCAAGAAAAGUACGGGUAUUUCUUUUGAAACAAAAAUUAGAUACUUUUGAAAAAUUUAAAACUUGGAAAACUUUGAUUGAAAAUCAAAUGGAUAAAAGGAUUAAAAUUUUAAGAACAGAGAAUGUAUUAGAAUUUUGUAAUGCUGAUUUUGAAAAACUGUGUAAGAAUGAUGGCAUUUUAAGACAUAAAAUAAUACCAUAUACUCUACAACAGAAUGGUAUAGUUGAGAGGAUGAAUAGGACAAUACUAGAUAAGGUUAGGUGUAUGAUGUUCAGUUCAAGUGUCCCUAAAGUGUUGUGGGAGAGGCUGUUAUGACAACAGUUUACGUCAUAAAUAGGACCCCAACUAGUGCAUUAGAUGAUAAAACACCUGAGGAAGUGUGGACAGGUAGGUUGAUUGACUAUACACACUUAAAAACCUUUGGUUAUGCAGCAUAUUCACACCAAAGUGUAGGAAAACUUGAGCCUAGGUCCCAAAAAUGUGUUUUCAUUGGAUAUCCUGAAGGAGUGAAAGGGUACAGCUUUGGGUGAGAAAAAUUGGGGGUUUUAAGAUGAUAACCAGUAGGAAUGUGGCCUUCGAUGAAAAUGAGAUGCCUUGCUUAAGUAAAGAGGCCUCCAGAGAGGUGUCAAAGGGUUAGGAAGAAGAAAAUAUUAGGCUGCAGGUGGAACUUGAACAUUCGCUUAAUCAUGUUGUUAAAAAUCAAGAUGAAAAUGAAAUUGUGGAAGAAUCAGGAAAUGAAACUGUUUAAGUGCCUACUGGUGAAUUAGUGAACCCUUUAAGUGAUUAUCAGUUAGCUAGAGAUAGGGUUAUAAGAGAAAUAAGAGAGCCUAUUAGGAUGCAAGACUAUAUGUCUCUCGCUAUGUUGUCUUAUCAAGAAUUAACCUUUAAGGAGCCUAAAUCCAUGAAGAAGUCAUUAGUUGUCAGUUUUCUAAGGAAUGACAGCUUGCUAUGGAGGAAGAAAUGAGGUCUUUAGUGAAAAAUAAGACCUGGAACUUAGUGCUUAAACCUGAAAAUAAAUCUUUAGUUGACUGUAAGUGGGUUUAUGCGAUAAAAAAAGGCAAUCCCCUUAAUCAGCCUCUUAGACUUAAAGCCAUAUUAGUAGCUAAGGGGUUUACCCAAAAACCUGGCAUAGAUUACAAUGAAAUAUUUUCUCCCGUUGUAAUAAAUACUACCAUUAGAGUCAUACUUGCAUUAGUUGCACAAUAUGAUUAUGAAUUAGAGCAAAUGGAUGUUAAAACUGCGUUCUUGCAUGGUGACCUUGAUGAAACCAUAUAUAUGAGACAGCCACAAGGUUUUAGUGAUAACAAAAAAUGUGAUCAUGUAUGCUUGUUAAAAAGAUCUCUUUAUGGCCUAAAACAAUCUCCUAGAUAAUGGUACACACGUUUUGAUAACUUUGUGUCUUUAGUUGGCUGUGAGAAGUUCCUUUGCCAAUUUUUUGUAUUUUAAAAAGGAUAACAACAACUAUUUGAUGUUUAUUUGCUGUUAUAUGUGAAUGAUAUGUUGUUAAUUGGCCAGAAAAUGAAUGAUAUAAAUGAGAUUAAAAAGGUUCUAACUGCUGAAUUUGAAAUGAAGGAUCUAGGACAUGCUAAAAGGAUUUUAGGGAUGGAUAUUAAGAGGAAUAAGUCACAACAGUUAUUAUUUUUGUCACAAACUGAUUAUGUGAAAAAUGUCCUAUCCAAAUUUGCUAUGCAUGAUUCUAGAUCUGUGACAUUACCCCUUGCAUGUCAUAUUAAGUUGAGUAAAGAUCAGUGCCCACAUGAUGAAUCUGACAUUAAAUAUAUGAAAAAAGUACCAUAUUCAAAUGUUGUUGGAUCUGUAAUGUACACCAUGGUUUGCAUACGACCCGAUGUUGCACAUGCUAUAAAUACCUUAAGUAGAUUUAUGUCCAACCUUGACCCCGAACAUUGAAGUGUAAUGAAAUGGUUAUUAAGGUACUUGAAAGGUUCAGUAGACUUAGGCUUACGUUUUAGACCUAAUAAGGAGGGAGUUAGAUUAAAGGGAUAUGUAGAUUCUGAUUAUGCUAGUGAUAGAGAUAACAGGAAGUCAACUACAGCAUAUAUGUUUACUUUAAGUGAUACUUGUAUUAGUUGGAAGUCCCAAUUGCAAUUUAUUGUAGCCUUAUCAACUACAAAGGCUAAAUAUGUGGCUGCAACUGAGGCCAUUAAAGAGGUCUUAUGGCUGAAAGGUUUCCUGAAUGAGGUAAAUGAAUCUGUUGAUCCUGUUGUUCCAUAUUCGGACAGUCAAAGCGCCAUACAUUUAUGUAAAAAUUCAAUUUUUCAUGAAAGAACUAAACGUAUAGAUGUAAGAAUGCAUUUUAUAAGAGAUAUUGUACAAAAGGAAUCUAUUUUGCUUGAGAAAACCCCUACUCAGUUUAAUCCCACUGAUAUGGGUACUAAGGUACUUCCUCUAAAUAAGUUUAAGUCAUGUUUGCAACUUUUAAGAAUUGAUAUUGGGUAAAUUUUUUGUGUUGGUGCAGGUGUAUAUGGCUUGGUGCUAAUGAUCUGAAAUGAAUUAUAUCAAUUGCUUGAGAAGUCUAUUGUUAUAUUUUCUUUGUUUUGUGUUUUUUGAUCAUUGACAUCAAGGGGGAGAUUUAUUGGGCUGUGAUGCCAAAUUAUUUUUUGGUGGACCAGCCCAUUUGGGCUAUGAUGAUAAAAAUAAAUGACCCAACAGAUACUACCAAACCCUUGCCUAAUAACGCAUUGUGAUGGACUCUUGACCCGGCCCAAAAUCCUUUGAUACAAGUGUGUUGCUCUAGUCCGUUUGAUCUCCUAAACCUAACAUCUACGGUGAUGACUUAUUAAUAUAAAUAUAAGGUUUGAGAUUUUUUUGCCCUAAUUUUUAGUCACAUUCUUGCACCUCUUCGUGAGUCUUCUGUAGAAUCUUUUGGGUUUCUUCUCUUCGAGACUUUGUGUCUCUGCCUCUUCUCUUUCUUGGUGAAACUCUCCAUUUAAUCAAUAAACCCUUGGUUUUCUGAUGGUUCCGUGUGCGUAGAAUCUUGGUGAUUCUUCGGUUUUGAGUUGUGAAGAGUUUUCUGUUGGCUUCUUGGAGAGUCUUUCGGACCAUUGAAGCAACCAUUUCUGCGUCGGGUUUUAGGGGCUGUAGUUUGUGAGUUAAUCCUUUGUACAGAUGGGUACAAGGUGGAUCUGAGCCCAAAAUCUAUGAGAUCUUGAUGCUAUGAUCUUGUGUCUAUAAUCUGUACUUGGUGUCGAUUUUGGGUUCACUAUUAUAACAGAAUUUAAUGAGACUCAACUUGAAAUUGCCUGUA